AAAAAUGGCAAACUCCGUAAGAUCACUUGGCCUAGGAAUAAAUCGCGUCCUUCUUCGGUCGUUGUGUAACCCUGCCGUAAACAGCUGUCGCACAUUCAGGAUCGGAGAAAAAAUCCCACCAGUGGAAUUGUACCCAGAGGACACCCCAACUAAACCACUAAAUGCACAGGAGCUGUUCAAAGGAAAGAAGGGUGUUCUGUUUGCAGUGGUGGGUGCCUUCACUCCUGGAUGUUCACAGGCCCACAUUCCUGAAUAUCUAAAUAACUACGAAAAAUUUAAGGAAGAAGGCUAUGAUAUGAUAUGCUGUUUGGCUGUUAAUGAUCCAUUUGUUAUGUCUGCUUGGGCUGAUAAACUCAAGACAAAGGGGAAGAUAAAGAUGCUGGCGGAUCCUCAAGGAAAAUUCACCAAAGCAAUGAAAAUGGAUCUGGACUGCACAAAGCUACUGGGAAAUGUUAGAUCGAAAAGGUGGGGCAGUGCACUCAUUCAGUGAUAAUUAAGGAAUCAUUGAGUGUUAUGAUGUGAUCAAAUACGGUCAGGGGUGAUCAAAUCCAAUGAAGCCCAAAGGGCAUUAUGAUAGAUUUGCUCACCCUCAACCUUAUUUGAUCAUCUGAUAAUAUCAAAGAAUGAUUCCUUAUUACUUGUAUUUAUAUUAUUUUCAUCAAUUGCACGAUUGAUUAUUAAAAUUAUUGAAAUAUUAGAAUAUAAGAAUAUUCAUUAAUGAAAUGUAUAUGGUUAUGUGUUACAAAAAUGAUUUGCAGUAUAAUCACAGAUAAAGACACUGGAACAUGUAAAUAAAUAUUUAACUAAAGAGCAUGCUUGUACAUUAAACUGGAUUUAAAAUCAUUUUCUAUGAAUCAUGAUGAUAGAACUUAUAGGGUGUUACAUAAUUACUGGAAGUUCCUCCAAAUUAUGUUUGGCUUUGAAAUGUUAGUUUUGUUAAGACAGCUCAGAUUUGUUCUGAUUUUUGAUAGAUACGCUCUGGUGAUUGAGGACAGUGUCAUCAAGAGUGUCAACACGGAGCCCGACCACACGGGCCUGGCCUGCUUACUGUGCAUCAGGAACUUUAGGUCUGCCCAAUCAGCAGGCGCCACGUGAUCUGUGCUUGGUGGUGCUGAGUGGUUCUGGUGUAAAUGUGGGAGAUUGAAAGAAGUGUGCGAUUGUAUGGUAUUAAAGAGGAUAUUGAUCUUGGGGAGAGCCUUGUGCAACCUUGUGGAAUUUAUACAGCACACACCUGUGACUUUCUGUUGGUUUUAUUUAUACUGUUGUAUAUUAUUUCUACAAGUACAGGUCUCAAUGUAAGGUGUUUUGUAUAUUUGGUAAAAUAAUCUAGUUUGAAUUAUUUUUGUUGUUUUAUUUUUAAAUGGAUAUGGUUUAUACAAUGAAUGACUGUCUUCAAAAUUAUGAAAACAGUUUUACUCAUUCUCAUGAUAUGCCUGCAGGUACAAGUGCAAUGUGUAUUAUGUAAUUUACCAGAGUCAUUAAUAAACUGGUGCUGUCAAUUCAAAAAAAAAUCUUCUGUAUAUUGAAUAUAUUUUUAGAAAUGUUCUUGAAAAAUUGGAAUGCUAAAAAAAGUGAGCUAUUUAAAGUUUACAAUUACUAGUAAUACCAUUUUCCUGACAACAUUUCAACCAUGUUAGGGUCAAAGAAAUUUUAAAACACUUAGUUUUUAAUCAUGAUUAAGUACUAGGAUUUACAUUGACUCCAGCAUGAUUGAGGGUAAUUCAAGGACAACAUACAAUUUCUCCCCUACAUUUUGUGUUAAGGUUUUAGAAGUAUAUAUAUGGAAAGCCAAUCAUAAUUAAAAUUUAAAUCAAUGUUUUGUACAUCUUAAGGUUGCAUAAACCUCCACACUAAUUCUGUAUAUGUUUGUCGACUUAUUAUUUAAUAUACAUGUAAAAAGGCUUCAGUUUUGUUCAUAUGGAAUAGAGAGAAGUCCUCUGACGUAAUUAUUUGAUAAAUGUUGUUUUUUUUGCAUAUAUUAUGCAUGCAAGAUAUUUUUUGAAUUUGUAAAUGAAAAAUGUCAAUAAAAUUAAAAAAAAAAUUAAAAGUCAACAAAUC
rnacentral:misc_RNA from 1 species